UGAGUGGCGGACGGGUGAGUAACGCGUGGGCAACCUGCCCCAUACAGGGGGAUAACAGCCGGAAACGGCUGCUAAAACCGCAUAAGCGCACAAGGGCCGCAUGGCCUGGUGUGAAAAACUCCGGUGGUAUGGGAUGGGCCCGCGUCUGAUUAGCUAGUUGGCGGGGGAGAGGCCCACCAAGGCGACGAUCAGUAGCCGACCUGAGAGGGUGGCCCGGCCACAUUGGGACUGAGACACGGCCCAAACUCCUACGGAAGGCAGCAG
rnacentral:rRNA from 1 species